rnacentral:rRNA from 1 species
UACGUAGGGGGCUAGCGUUGUCCGGAAUCAUUGGGCGUAAAGCGCGUGUAGGCGGCCCGGUAAGUCCGCUGUGAAAGUCGGGGGCUCAACCCUCGGAAGCCGGUGGAUACUGUCGGGCUCGAGUACGGAAGAGGCGAGUGGAAUUCCUGGUGUAGCGGUGAAAUGCGCAGAUAUCAGGAGGAACACCAAUGGCGAAGGCAGCUUGCUGGGACGUUACUGACGCUGAGACGCGAAAUC